rnacentral:rRNA from 2 species
UCUCCUGGAAAACGGGUGGUAAUGCCGGAUGCUCCGACUCCUCGCAUGGGGUGUCGGGAAAGAUUUCAUCGGUAUGGGAUGGGGUCGCGUCCUAUCAGGUAGUCGGCGGGGUAACGGCCCACCGAGCCUACGACGGGUAGCCGGCCUGAGAGGGCGACCGGCCACAUUGGGACUGAGAUACGGCCCAGACUCCUACGGGAGGCAGCAGUGGGGAAUAUUGCACAAUGGGCGCAAGCCUGAUGCAGCGACGCCGCGUGCGGGAUGACGGCCUUCGGGUUGUAAACCGCUUUUGAUCGGGAGCAAGCCUUCGGGUGAGUGUACCUUUCGAAUAAGCACCGGCUAACUACGUGCCAGCAGCCGCGGUAAUACGUAGGGUGCAAGCGUUAUCCGGAAUUAUUGGGCGUAAAGGGCUCGUAGGCGGUUCGUCGCGUCCGGUGUGAAAGUCCAUCGCUUAACGGUGGAUCUGCGCCGGGUACGGGCGGGCUGGAGUGCGGUAGGGGAGACUGGAAUUCCCGGUGUAACGGUGGAAUGUGUAGAUAUCGGAAAAGAACACCA